rnacentral:rRNA from 1 species
UCGAGAAUCUUUCGCAAUGGGCGAAAGCCUGACGAUGCGACGCCGCGUGAGGGAUGAAGGUCUUCGGAUCGUAAACCUCUGUCACACGGGAAGAACGUCCUAUGGGUGAAUAACCCUGUGGGCUGACUGUACUGUGAGAGGAAGCCCCGGCUAACUCCGUGCCAGCAGCCGCGGUAAUACGGAGGGGGCAAACGUUGUUCGGAUUUAUUGGGUGUAAAGGGUGUGUAGGCGGGCUUGUAAGUCGGAUGUGAAAUACUUUAGCUUAACUAAAGAACUGCAUUCGAAACUGCUUGUCUUGAGUUUGGGAGAGGAGAGUGGAAUUCUCGGUGUAAGGGUGAAAUCUGUAGAUAUCGAGAGGAACACCAGUGGCGAAAGCGGCUCUCUGGACCAAAACUGACGCUGAAACACGAAAGCUAGGGGAGCAAACAGG